rnacentral:rRNA from 1 species
CCUACGGGUGGCAGCAGUGGGGAAUAUUGCACAAUGGGGGAAACCCUGAUGCAGCGACGCCGCGUGAGUGAAGAAGUAUUUCGGUACGUAAAGCUCUAUCAGCAGGGAAGAAAAUGACGGUACCUGACUAAGAAGCCCCGGCUAACUACGUGCCAGCAGCCGCGGUAAUACGUAGGGGGCAAGCGUUAUCCGGAUUUACUGGGUGUAAAGGGAGCGUAGACGGCAGCGCAAGUCUGGAGUGAAAUCCCAUGGCUUAACCAUGGAACUGCUUUGGAAACUGUGCAGCUAGAGUGCAGGAGAGGUAAGCGGAAUUCCUAGUGUAGCGGUGAAAUGCGUAGAUAUUAGGAGGAACACCAGUGGCGAAGGCGGCUUACUGGACUGUAACUGACGUUGAGGCUUGAAAGCGUGGGGAGCAAACAGGAUUAGAUACCCCAGUAGUC